rnacentral:other from 1 species
GCAACCCUGCUAUGCCCGUGAUGGCGCAACCUGGGUUUUGAGCCAACACCUACUGAAAUGGUGCGAUUCUCUGGCUGGGAUGCGGUAGCCUUCGGGCAAGGCAGAGCUGUCCAGGAUAGCACCCUCCUGCGGAAGCAGGUUCAAAACGAUGCUCCACACGGCAUAGCGGGGCGACC